UCCACUCGACCACCUUCUAAGGACUUGAAAAUGGUUAUACAAUAAUCAGUGAGACAAUGUCUCAGCAAGUCCAUGCUCUAAACUCCAAUUAUGAGGGAAAUGCGCCUAGAAGUGUCCUAACCACACAAUCACACAAUUAGCACAGAAGACUUAUCUCGCCUCAGUUUCUUCCUGCAUGUCAGCACAGUUCAUAUCACAUUGCGUAUAAUCAAUGCACAUAACAAUUGGAAUGUCUCAACAACUCAUUUAAUUACAAUGGUCCCGAUUAUAAGGCAAAACCAUUAUAACACGACUCAUACCAUGCCACACGGUUUUGUCUCAUAAUCAGGCACAUCAAACUCAAACAAUCAUGCAUUCCAAUUGUUAAAUAAGCCACUUGAGGCACUGCCGACUUCCCUGUUCGGCAGUCUACCGGUGUAGCCAGGCAUUGUCUCUUCACCCUAAAGCACAGCUACGUCACAUUGACAACUAUCUCGAAAGAGCUUAGGUCCAGAAUCUACUGCGACCCGCUACCCUAAUGCAUGGGUAACCCGAAGGUGGGAUUUAGUAAUGUCUGGCUUAAAUGCUAGGACAGGUUCUCUUUAAUCAACACAUGACAAUUCAAUCUCAGCCCAGGAAACUGUGCAUUGCACUCAAAGGCCUCAAUUAAGAUAGUGGUCCUAGCAUGUUUUCUUCGUAUUAAAAACAUCCCGAAAAUAAUUGUGUGUGAGUACACGAUCAAUUCGAACCAGAAAACUGAUACCUUUUUUUUUUCAAAUCAUACUAUUUGAUAUAGUACUUAAAAUCCAUUUUCGGUGUUAAAACCCGACACCUAGGAUUUUUUGAAUAAAUAUCAAAAUUCACAAAUUUUGAAGUAAUUGACCAAAUUUCCAAUCAGCACUCAAUUUGCACAAAUUAACACUCAAUUGCAGAAUUUAACCACACCAUUGCAAUGAGCACGAAAUUCCGGUCACUGGCUAUCCUGGCCUAAUUUUCGUAAAUUAUUUAAUAAUUAAAUAAUUACUAAAAUUAAUUAAAUAGAUGCAUUAAAUACUAAAAAUGCUAACUUAGAAUAAAUAAUUCUAAUCUAACCACCUAUUAAGCCAAAUAAAUUAUUCUAACAUCCUAGCUAUAUAACAACACACUAACCUAAUUAACUUAUAAUUUCUAACCACCUAAUUAAAUAAUCUAACUAACCUAAUUUAACUAACUAAACUAAUAAUUAAACUAAUUGCACCUAAAUAAAUCUAAACACCCCUUAGACGUCAUUAGCCUACUAAGAAGAGUUUAGUGCAUAAACUCAUUGGUUAAUUGUAGAAACUGGUUUACCACGACGAUGGCGUGACGGCGGCCGAAACUUGAAUUACGGCGACGUCGACGGAGCUCGGACCGGGCCUAGAACCAGCCCAAUAAAUCUCAGCCCAAGCUGAGGUUUAUUCUUGAUUUUGGGCUGGACCUAGGUUGGACUGGGCCCACUAAACUUGCUGGGCUGGACUGCUGAAGAUGGGCUGCUGAAAACAAUUGCGAACCGGGCUGAGUUGGGCUGGAAUGCCUCUGCAGAUGGGCUGAAUUGAGCGGGCUUCUAAUGGGCUUGCAGUUGAACUCACGUGGGCUGCUGCUGGGCCAAGGAUACGUCGCUGGAGAAGACCGCGCUGGGGACGCCUGGCAGCAGCAACGUGGGCUGGCGCGGCCACGAAGGAAGCAGCAGCUGCUUCGGUCAACAAACCAAAUGAGGGAGCAGCUGGCGUCCGCUGGCAGAGGGUCUUCGAUGGAAGAGGGAAACACGCAGCAGAGACAAAAGAUGGUGGGAAGGCGUGAGGCUCGCAGAGUCAGCGGCGGAAAGAGAGAGGUUGAAACGGAAACAGAAGCAGCAGAUGGAUCGAUGAAGCCGGCGUCAACGGUGGGCUUCGUUUUGCUGCUGGGUUGACUGGACGCGUGGAGACGGCGCGCGGCAGUGAGGUAGAGAUCACGGGCUGCACUGGUCGCUGCUGGGGAAGGCACAGAAGCAUGGACGGCAGAGAUGAAGCGAGAACGUGGAGAUGAUGGGCAGGUGUUUUUGGUGGGAGGUGAGCUUCGGACGUGGGAAAAUGAAAACAAAAACAAGCGGGCAGAGAUCGAAGGAGAUGAAGUCGGUCAAGGCAGCUUGCUUGAGAAGUUGGACGAGGGAGAGAGAGACGUGUAAGAGUGGCCAAAGGGGAAGAAAAG
rnacentral:lncRNA from 1 species